GCUUGCCGUAGUCAAACGGGAGACAGUACGUUCUUCGCAUUUGUAAUUUAUCUCUCAGGUUACCAGAGUCAGCUGGGGAUUCAUGAACAUCAUCAGUGAUGUUUCUCCACAGCGGGCUCAUCAGUACCUGGUGACAGAAGGUCGAUCCAGCUCUGACUUGAGGCUGUUCAAGAAUCAGCUCCACUUGAUCUGGUUCCACCUCUACCACAGGCAGAGAAACACAGGUGCAAAGGCAGCUGGCAGAGGAAUGGCCAAGAAAAGGAAAGACCUCACUGAGCGAAAAAGAUGAGGACAAAAGCUGGUGAUGAUUCAGUGCAGCUGGUCUCAGGGGAUGAAGCAAAAGCCUGAUCAACUUCUCUACAAAAACAAGGCUCAAUGAGACGGGGGAAGUAAACAGCGAUACAUUCACCCAGACUGCUGAUGUUCCUGUAUGAACUGAAAAACUUUGAACAUCCAAGAAAAAGCUGAGAUCCCACCUGAGAUGUUUUCUACGCCCUACAGACGAGGGGGCGCCACAAUGGUUGGGGAGAUGCUUUUUCCUUCAGUGGAACAAUGGAGCUUCAGGAGGUGCAGGAGUGUCAAAAGGCUGCUGGCUAUGUCCAGAUAAUGCAGAGA